UACGUAGGGUGCGAGCGUUUGUCCGGAAUUAUUGGGCGUAAAGAGCGUGUAGGCGGUCCGGUAAGUCAGCUGUGAAAGUCAAGGGCUCAACCCUUGAAUGCCGGUUGAUACUGUCGGGCUAGAGUCCGGAAGAGGAGAGUGGAAUUCCUGGUGUAGCGGUGAAAUGCGCAGAUAUCAGGAAGAACACCAAUAGCGAAGGCAGCUCGCUGGGACGGUAUUGACGCUGAGACGCGAAAGCGUGGGGAGCAAACAGG
rnacentral:rRNA from 1 species